UACGGAGGGUGCAAGCGUUAUCCGGAUUCACUGGGUUUAAAGGGUGCGUAGGUGGGUUGAUAAGUCAGUGGUGAAAUCCCCGAGCUUAACUUGGGAACUGCCAUUGAUACUAUUGAUCUUGAACACCGUGGAGGUCAGCGGAAUAUGUCAUGUAGCGGUGAAAUGCUUAGAUAUGACAUAGAACACCAAUUGCGAAGGCAGCUGGCUACACAAAUAUUGACACUGAGGCACGAAAGCGUGGGGAUCAAACAGG
rnacentral:rRNA from 1 species